rnacentral:lncRNA from 1 species
AUAAAAUGUAAGACAAACAGUUCUCUAAAAGAUACCAUCUUGCAGCUGAAAAACACCAGUGCUCAGAGGGGUAGUCAGCAGGAUCUGGGACUGUCUGUUGGGUUUGAAGCCCUUGAACUUUCUACUGUACUCCUUGGCUUCCACUCCUACAACUGGCACCCACUAGGGCUUUCUGAGGAUUCCUCUGAGGGUACUCGUGCGGGCAUGUGGACCCAUGGUGCCACAGGAAAACACUCAGGACCUGGCCGCCUUCCACUAGAACCUUCCACUCGCAUCACCCCGAGAAGGAUGUCUCCCGGCCCUGCCGCCUCUGGGACAAACACACCAGCCGGGCGGUGAGCACGAAAGCGGGCAUCCUACCCAGCGUACUGCCAGUCAGAACUUGCACCCAGCCAGCAUAUCCUGUAAUUGCCGCUGAUUAGCUGGAAUUUGGAAUUUGUAUCUACGAACAGAAGGGCAUCGGGGACUCCUUGAUUAAACAAGUGAGAUAACCAUACAUUGCUAAGAGGAACAGAGAUCUUUCCCCUCGCUCUCGCAUUGCUCAACAUCUGACUGCUCACGGCCUUGUCCUUUGACAUUCACUCCCACAACAUCCCCACCUCCGCCUUCCCUCCCACUUCCUAUCUGGGCCCCGGAGCUCAACCCACAGGGGCCUCUUCUCUUUGCUACUCCACUCGUGACCCAGUUCAGCCCACACGCCAGCCUUCCCAUCUCUAGCCAGAGGGCACUGGGCUCAGGGCCACGGGCCGUCCUCAGCUGCUUCAGAUCCUUUUGGGAACCAGUCAGGGUAUAAACAAACACAUCAACCUACUUGGGCUUUUCCCUCAUCUUUCUAGAGCAGGCGGCUCAAUAGAAGAGUCCGUGCUGAUGGAAGUAUUCUCUGCUGCGUGGGCCAGAGUGGUAGCCACUAGCUGUGUGUGGCUAUUGAAUGCCUCUUGUGCUUGACUUAGGAAGUUUGACUCAGGAACUGAGUUUAUUAAACUUUUUUUUGAACUUUAAAUACAACAUGUGACAGGUAGCUACCCUACUAGUCAGUGCAGCUCUAAAAAGAAGGGAGGGUUUGAGGGCCUACCAUUCCUGUGACCUCACCUAGUAGCCUGGAAUCUCAGAAAGUGUUCUGCUCUUUGAAAACACCCAGCCCUUGUCUCCCCAACUCUCAGGUCUGUCUUCUCCCAAAAUAACUGGGAGCAUUUGUGGAACCCCUACAAUGCACUGGGUGUUUUGCAAAUGUAAACCAGAUAUAAUGAGUCACCGCAAGUCCUAGAACAAUGUUCAAAAAAAGCUCAGAGGGGCUUCCUCGGUGGUUCAGGGGUUAAGACUCUGUGCUCCCAAUGUAGGG